GAAGUUAGACCUAUCAUGUAUAAAUACAAAUGACCAAGGACUGUGCCCCUAAGCUGAAGCAGGCUGAAAAACAAGAUGUCCCAUACCUCUUAACCAUGAGACUUGGAAUGAGUUUACAGUUGCUGUUAAAACUUGAAAAAGGGUAGCUUUAUUUUUCACACAUUUGUGAACAAGGCUUGGCUGGGAAGUUGGAGACCACAAGUUGGCACAUUCCCAUGAAGGCUGCCAACAGAGAGUCCAAUCACACACCAGUCUCAUGCACGGAGCUGACAACCACAUCCCUUAAAGAAAGGCCCUGUGCCAUUUCCAGAGCUUUUCUUUUUUCUCGUCAUGGUGUUGGCUUUUAAUGGAAACCAAGAAACUUGAUGCACCGAGCCCAAGAAACAGAAACAGAAGCAGAAGCAGAAAGCUUCAGUGGAAAACAGCUAUCCAGUUAAAGCAUCAUCACAUACAACUGAGAUGAUCUCGGGCACCCCUGCACCCCAGCCUCCUCAGCAGGGUGGGAGAGUGAUGCCCACACUGCUCACCUUGCAAGAAGAAAUGACCAUCGAGCCAACCAGUUCUUGCUGUGUAACCAAGGGUGCUGAGGCCCAGCGGCUGGGCCAGCUGGCUGGGAGUUGCUGAUGGAGGCCAGGGGCUGUGCUCCCUCUGUUUCCAGUGCUCCAGCAGGCAGGCCUGGGAGUGUGCACGUGGUCCUGGGAGAAGCACGACAAGGAGCCUCAAGAACAAAGGCCAUCAGAGAGGCCGUUUGCUGGCAUGGAGCCCCCCAGGACUCAUCAACCAUGGUUGAGGUUGACUGAAAACAGAGCAAGAGAGGCCCCCGCCUGUCUCAGAUGAGACUGGUGUUUUUUGCAAAUGGAUUACUUAAAGGUGUCUUGAAGGGGUAUGAUACUGCGAUAUGCACCUUUCACUGCCUGGAAUCUUCCUGAGUUUUGUCUUGGUCGAGCUGCCUUCCAUGUACAGCCCCCUCUGAAGAUGUUGGAAAGGAGGAGAAGGAAGAGGAAAGCAGAGGGGAUCGCCCCGCAGAGGCCAGCCUGCAGCCUGGGCUCCAUGCACCUCUGGCUGCUAACGGGAUCCACCUCGGGUCAAGAAGGUGCUGGCUCACACUUUCCUCAAGAUUUUAGAGAUGCAUGUAUCCCAGUGCAUGUCCUGGAAAGCCUUUAAAAUUCAGAGAAAACAAGCAAAGCUCUGGCUAAUUAAAUGUUUUCUGCUUACCGUUGUUAACAUAUUAAUGAAACAGGUUAAAUGUAUUACUCAGUGAUGAGGAAGCUCUUAGCUUCUAUGCACCCCUUUUUGAGAGGAUUUCUCCAAGUGGCAUCAGUGUUUACAGUGCACUGGCUUCCUGUUCAUAGGACUUUUAUGUGGGGGUGGUGGCAAGGCAGAAAGCAUCCCCAGGGUGAGAAGGGGAUGGGGAGGUCCACGUUGCAGUUCAGACCCCCUCGUCACCUGCCUUUGAGACAGCCACGUCCCUGAGCCUUUCCUGUCAAAUGAGGGUAGGUAAGUUUCUAAUGUUCCCGUUUUGACCUCUCAGACUCAGGGACUGGGGCUAGAGCACGGGUCCUCUCGUUGAAGUCACUGUAGCACUUCAGAGGCAUCAGCACUCUUGCUUUAUUUUGCACAUCCUUGGUUGUCAGUUAUUAUGGGUACACAGCAAGCUACCCCAAACUUAGUACAACAACAACCGUUUUGCUGUGCUCACGGAUUCUGUGGGUAAGGAAUUUGGAAGGGGCCCAGGGUGUGGUGUGUCAUUUGGGAAGAUUUGAGUCAGUAGUAGGUUUGCUCACUCCCAUGUCUGUGGCGCACGUGGCCUCUGUGUGGCUGGGCUUCCUCACAGCAUGGCGUCCUGAGCUGCCUUUCAUGGGGGCUUACUCAGGGCUCCCAGCACAAGGGUUCCAGCCAACAGGGUGGAUUUCACAGCGCCUUUUCUGGCCCAGUCUCUG
rnacentral:lncRNA from 1 species